AAUACCCUCCAGAGCCAUCGCUUUCCCUGUAGCAAGGUGACUCACAGGGCUCAAGAUGACAGCCGCUCCACCAGCCAGAGUCGCUGCAUGGUCACGGAAUAACUCCUGGAAGAAGCCUUUCCCCCCAAUGAUUCUCUGCCUUGCAUAAUGCUUCAGGAGCAGGCAUGUGACCUGACCCGUCGGUCGGGAGCCUGCCCUGAAUUCGGGGUGCUGCAGAGGACAGUGGAGAUCAUUCGUGGGGGACAGCGGCUAUGUCCAGGCCACGACACCUGGCGACGGUGGCCCCGGCAGCAGCUUCAGAACCAGACAUCUCCUCUGGGGGCCCCUUGACGCAUCCCGAGCUGCUGGCCUCCUUCAACGCCUGCCCUUUCCUGAGCCUGGUUGGUGUCCUUCCAAUAAAUUCCUGCUCUG